UCAACUUAUGUCGAUGUCUUCUUGCUAGUGAAUAUAUGAAUGUCACUGACUGGCUUUGUACAGGCUAAAAGAAGCUUGAAAGUUCGUAUGUAAGCAUGUCGGCCGCCACACGCGUGUCCAGGGGGACGGUACGUUCCCGUGUUUACGCUGCUAUCUAGUCACGCUGGCGCGUGCAGAUGCGGGUGGGGAAGAACACCUGCGGCGGUCCGGACCACAGAUGUCUCUGGAACAGUCGUAUGCAGCGAACUCGUUAGUGGACGCGGUUGCCGUUUCGUGUACCAGAACAGCAUUGGAGCGUUGAGCAACCAGCCAUAGGCUGCCCUGUGUGCUUGGCGGAGAGGUUCCCACCGGUCGCCAUGAUGUGCUGCCUGCCCACGGUGGUUCUCUUAGUGGCUGUAGCCGCUUCUGGAGUCAUACUUGCAUGCUUCAAGCUUGGUAACGCGGGCCCGAAGAAGCCGACGUACGGCUCUUCAGAAAAGUCCAGUUGCCGCCUGCUGGUUGAGGACAGCUAGCGCAGCCUACUGAGUGCCAGUUGCAAUGUCGUCGCUCAAAGAGUGGACAGAAUGUAGCGUUCCUGAAACACACCAGGAGAAAAGUCUCAAGCCACGGAAAUGUCGGAGAGCACGCCCGAAGCGCUCCGUUGAAGCUGGCGAGAGGCAACAAAAGAACAGGACACGCAACGAGAUCGACCCACUUUCGUAAUAAAAGUGUUCGCAUGUAACUGUCACAUGAAGCAAAUGAGCUA